AUUGAACGCUGGCGGCAUGCCUUACACAUGCAAGUCGAACGGCAGCACGGGUGCUUGCACCUGGUGGCGAGUGGCGAACGGGUGAGUAAUGCAUCGGAACAUGUCCUGUAGUGGGGGAUAGCCCGGCGAAAGCCGGAUUAAUACCGCAUACGAACUACGGAUGAAAGCGGGGGACCUGGGGACCUCGCGCUAUAGGGUUGGCAGAUGGCGGAUUAGCUAGUUGGUGGGGUAAAGGCCUACCAAGGCGACGAUCAGUAGCUGGUCUGAGAGGGCGACCAGCCACACUGGGACUGAGACACGGCCCAGACUCCUACGGGAGGCAGCAGUGGGGAAUUUUGGACAAAGGGCGAAAGCCUGAUCCAGCAAUGCCGCGUGUGUGAAGAAGGCCUUCGGGUUGUAAAGCACUUUUGUCCGGAAAGAAAUCCUUGGCCCUAAUACGGUCGGGGGAUGACGGUACCGGAAGAAUAAGCACCGGCUAACUACGUG
rnacentral:rRNA from 1 species